UUUUUUUUUUUUUUUUUUUCCUUUUAACAGAGGUACCAAUGGAGAAUAUGUGUGCCCUGAACUGUUCUGGCCUAGAAAGCAGGCAGCUGAGGUGCAUUAAGUAUAGAAGCCAGGUGUGAAUUACUGUGCGUUUAUCUCACGUUUGCCACAGGAGAAGAGUACUGCAGGCUGGUUACCAUGGUUCAGCUGAUAGAAGGAUGUCCCUUCCUGUCCCCAGCCCUGAACCCUGCCCCCUUUCCAAAAAAUCUCCAUCAUCUUUCCUUUGGGGACAGCUUGACAAAUGGAUACCGUGAUAAAGGUUUAUCGCUCCUGCUGCUGCUCUGGCGCUCCCCAUCUGCCUGGAAGAGCUCUCCUAAGAGCACAGAAAUGGACAUAACCCCUUGCUGUGACAUAUCAUCUUCUGGACAUUUUCCUGCCAUAUGAAAUUGUGAUUUAUGGCUCAAAUUAAUGAAAUGGCGUUUUAUGGCUUAAAUUAAUGAACUACCGCAUCCCGCGAGGGUAUUUGAGAGGGACCUUUUGGAACCACCGGUCUGUGACAACCGAAAGCAUCAGACCCCUUUGGUUUCUGUAGGAGUAACACCUGGACCUUUCUUCCCUGCUGGGAGCACUGGGGACAGCAUGGGGUAUUUUAUCUCCUGGACCAUGGAAGAUGGCAAGGCUGCAUUGCUUCACUGUGUGGGCCUGGCUGAUUACAUCCUCAUCCUCAAACUCAUCCUCAUCCUCAUCCUCCUGCCAUCAGCACAGCUUUAAGUCGGGAGGAUGUGCCUCUCCCCUCUCAGCAAAGCAGAUUAAUCAGAUUUUUCGUAUUGCCCAAGGUUUCAUGUUUUCUACGGCCACGGGCAGCCAUUACAACAGGUAUUAAGCACAUCAAGAUCUACUUUCAAACCUCUUUGCAAACCACGAGCCUGGGCACUUGCCAAAAAAUCAGAUUGCCAUCUGAUAAUUUUGAAAUAAUAAUAAUAAUUAUUAUUAUAUGACUCUGGAAGGCUCUAAGAGCAAAUUUAUGUCUAAAAUGUAUGUAGGAAGAAGGGGAUGAAUCAGAACCACGAUUAUGUUAAUACAUUAAUUAUUCCAUUAAUAAAGCAACAUGUUCAUACUAUUAUCCCCA
rnacentral:lncRNA from 1 species